GAUACUGUGUUCGUAUAAACAAAUUGUAGUGAAAUCAUCAUGUUGCCAUGGCGAUGUCCUGUUAUGGAUUUUGUCAUCUGGAUAUGAUAAAGUACAAGCAAUUCUCAAGCUAUUAAUUGCUGCAGCCUGAAAUCUAGCCCACAUGUCGGGCGGUCCUAAAAUCAGGCAAGGCAGGGAAAACACAGCCAGCCAUGCAGGCUAAAUUAAUGUUCACCAUUGAACU